GUGAGGAAUAUUGGACAAUGGGCGCAAGCCUGAUCCAGCCAUGCCGCGUGCAGGAAGACGCAUCUAUGGUGUGUAAACUGCUUUUGUACGGGAAGAAACACUCCCUCGUGAGGGAGCUUGACGGUACCGUAAGAAUAAGGAUCGGCUAACUCCGUGCCAGCAGCCGCGGUAAUACGGAGGAUCCAAGCGUUAUACGGAAUCAUUGGGUUUAAAGGGUCCGUAGGCGGUUUAAUAAGUCAGUGGUGAAAGCCCAUCGCUCAACGAUGGAACGGCAAUUGAUACUGUUAGACUUGAAUUACAAGGAAGUAACUAGAAUAUGUAGUGUAGCGGUGAAAUGCUUAGAUAUUACAUGGAAUACCAAUUGCGAAGGCAGGUUACUACUUGUGGAUUGACGCUGAUGGACGAAAGCGUGGGGAGCGAACAGGAUUAGAAACCCGAGUAGUCC
rnacentral:rRNA from 1 species